ensembl:lncRNA
CACACUGCCCUCUGGACUGGGCCUCCCAGCACGGGCUGGGGUGUGGAGAAGCCUUCUGAUCACUGUCAUGCUGUGCUGCUCUCCCCUCCCUUCCCCAGGCCCUCACCAGUCCCUCCCAGCCCCGCUGGCUCCUGUCCAUGAGGCCGCACCCCGCUUUGGCCUAACUGCUGAUGAGCUCCCCUUCCUCACCUUCCCAUACUCCUUCAAGUAGUCUCGCUGCUAAGCUCAGGCUUAUUUUUCUUCUGACCCUGUACCCUGGAAUCCAGCCCAGCUUCUCUCACCCGGUUUCUCUUCCCUCCCGCUGGCUCCUCAGGAACCCGCCAAGGCCGCAGCAGAGCUGAGCCAUCCAUCUGCACCCGGGAGGACAGCCCUGGACUGCCGGCCUCCAGAGCCCUGAGAGUGAACUCUUCUCUCGGCCGCCUCAUCUGCGGGGCUUCGUUCUUAAACCACCCAACCCAUCAGGCUCCAGCGGAAGGAGAAAGCCAGAGGAAGCAGAGGGAUGAACAGGAGUUAACUGUGCAAGGCAAGCGGCGGAGAAGGUGGUCCCGGGCGAGGGAAUCCGGACAAAGGAGCCAGAGUGAGAAAUUGGAGGGGAAAGACUGUGGAGAGGUCAACAAGUCAGAGGACGCCGGAGCCCCAGGGACGGAAGCUGACAGCAGCAGGCCAGAGUCUCCCGAGCAGAGCACUGAGGAGGACCCUUGACUGGAGCCAUCUGGACGCCGCAAUGCUCAAGGAAAAGUUUCACGCCUGCAAGAACCACACCCUGAGCAGCCAAAGACCAAUCCCGGCCCCUGAGCCAAAGCGACAGCCCCUGCGGGCCAUGUCUGCUCGCGGAGGUGGAUGCCCAAGACAGCUCCCAGGCCAGAGAGGCCCUAGCAGCCUGUGGCGAGACAUGGCGUUCACCCUGGGCUCACUCCGAUGCCGCCUCGUAAGGACGUGUGAAGCGCUGGGCUGUUGGUAAGUAGGUGGCCGAAGGCACCAUGGUCCACACCUUUGGCAAUCCAGCAUUCAUUCCUCUGCCUCUUCUCAAAAUUACACUUCCUAGAAGGACGCUUUUCCUGAAAGAAUCCAUGCAUGACUUGAGGGGACACCAAAUCUCCUCUAGCCAGUCGCCC